UACGUAGGGUGCGAGCGUUAAUCGGAAUUACUGGGCGUAAAGCGUGCGCAGGCGGUUUUGUAAGACAGAUGUGAAAUCCCCGGGCUUAACCUGGGAACUGCAUUUGUGACUGCAAGACUAGAGUGCGGCAGAGGGGGGUAGAAUUCCACGUGGAGCAGUGAAAUGCGUAGAGAUGUGGAGGAAUAACGAUGGAGAAGGCAGCAACCGGGGUCGACACUGAUGCUCAUGCACGAAAGCGUGGGGAGCAAACAGG
rnacentral:rRNA from 1 species